rnacentral:rRNA from 1 species
UGCGCAGGCGGUUUUGUAAGACAGUGGUGAAAUCCCCGGGCUCAACCUGGGAACUGCCAUUGUGACUGCAAGGCUAGAGUGCGGCAGAGGGGGAUGGAAUUCCGCGUGUAGCAGUGAAAUGCGUAGAUAUGCGGAGGAACACCGAUGGCGAAGGCAAUCCCCUGGGCCUGCACUGACGCUCAUGCACGAAAGCGUGGGGAGCAAACA